AUGUUCUUCUUCUUCUUCUCACCAGGAUUUGCUUUUUAUCAGACCUCCGCUUCAUCUUCAUCGCUCACUUCCAUCUCACUCAUUCGCGUCGAGGUGGAUUUCUGGUGUGAUUCUUCAAGAGGUUGUGAAGAAUGUGCAGAGAAUUUGAAGUUUGAAGUAGAAGAUGAAGUGCAGAGAUUUUGUGUGAAGAUUGGAGUAGAAGAUGAAGUUGUGAGAAUGAAUCUCUGA